UGGCCUUUGGGGUUUCCCCAGGAACAAUACUGAAGCAACAAGGUAGAAGUGGAUGUCUAUUUAGAGAGAGAAACUGCCACAAGUGGUCUCUUGGUCUCAGAAAGACAAUUAAGAAUGCUGCAUUCUCUUCCUGUUAACACCCGAGCUACAUGGACGCUAGCUAUAGCAAACAUCUUCUUGGCUCAUCAGUACCAAUCAGGGUUGGGGUUACAAAUGUCCACCUCCAUGUUCAUCUCUACCUGGCUUCUGAGGGUCAAAUUCAGGAGCCUUACAGACAUUUUCCUACCGGUUCCCAAAGUGAUCCUGUGGUAACCUCCAGCCUGAGCCUCUAAUGACUCCACACACCAGAAACCAACCUAUGAGCAGGAGGAACAUGCUCAGUGACCAUUCACACACCAGGGUGAAAAGCAGCAAUUUCUUCACAAGCAAAACUGAAAACGAUUUGACUGGGUCUUUUCAAGCCCAGCUGAAAGUUUACCCUCUUCAAACAGCCUUUGGGCGACUCUUAAAAA